AGUAAGGCGUUGAAGGGAAGGAGUAGGAAAUUGACUUAUUCAAGAGAGAGGUUGUCGUUGGCUGAGAGCAACCUUAAUAAGAGUUUUCGAAGAGUGCGUCCUGGAGCUUUCUUAUCGAAAUACAAGUAGAUGAGAACGGGUAAAAUCCGUUAAAAUAUAUGAGAAAAACAUAGGUCUUCUAUGUUUAAUUAGAGUGGAACCACGAACUGACCCUUCGUCUCUAAA
rnacentral:ncRNA from 1 species